AUUGAACGCUGGCGGCAGGCUUAACACAUGCAAGUCGAGCGGAGAGAGGUAGCUUGCUACUGAUCUUAGCGGCGGACGGGUGAGUAAUGCUUAGGAAUCUGCCUAUUAGUGGGGGACAACAUUUCGAAAGGAAUGCUAAUACCGCAUACGUCCUACGGGAGAAAGCAGGGGAUCUUCGGACCUUGCGCUAAUAGAUGAGCCUAAGUCGGAUUAGCUAGUUGGUGGGGUAAAGGCCUACCAAGGCGACGAUCUGUAGCGGGUCUGAGAGGAUGAUCCGCCCCACUGGGACUGAGACAAGGACCAGACUCCUACGGGUGACAGCAGUGGGGAAUAUUGGACAAUGGGCGGAAGCCUGAUCUAGCCAUGCCGCGUGUGUGAAGAAGGCCUUAUGGUUGUAAAGCACUUUAAGCGAGGAGGAGGCUACUUUAGUUAAUACCUAGAGAUAGUGGACGUUACUCGCAGAAUAAGCACCGGCUAACUCUGUGCCAGCAGCCGCGGUAA
rnacentral:rRNA from 1 species